UAACCGGAUUAGAUACCCUGGUAGUCCACGCCGUAAACGAUGUCGACUUGGAGGUUGUGCCCUUGAGGCGUGGCUUCCGGAGCUAACGCGUUAAGUCGACCGCCUGGGGAGUACGGCCGCAAGGUUAAAACUCAAAUGAAUUGACGGGGGCCCGCACAAGCGGUGGAGCAUGUGGUUUAAUUCGAUGCAACGCGAAGAACCUUACCUGGUCUUGACAUCCACAGAACUUUCCAGAGAUGGAUUGGUGCCUUCGGGAACUGUGAGACAGGUGCUGCAUGGCUGUCGUCAGCUCGUGUUGUGAAAUGUUGGGUUAAGUCCCGCAACGAGCGCAACCCUUAUCCCUUGUUGCCAGCGGUCCGGCCGGGAACUCAAAGGAGACUGCCAGUGAUAAACUGGAGGAAGGUGGGGAUGACGUAA
rnacentral:rRNA from 1 species